rnacentral:rRNA from 1 species
GCGUUGUUCGGAAUUACUGGGCGUAAAGGGCGCGUAGGCGGCCUGUUAAGUCGAACGUGAAAUCCCCGGGCUCAACCCGGGAACUGCGUCCGAUACUGGCAGGCUUGAAUCCGGGAGAGGGAUGCGGAAUUCCAGGUGUAGCGGUGAAAUGCGUAGAUAUCUGGAGGAACACCGGUGGCGAAGGCGGCAUCCUGGACCGGCAUUGACGCUGAGGCGCGAAAGCGUGGGGAGCAAACAGG